rnacentral:rRNA from 14 species
GGCUAUGGUCAUAUUACCCUUAACUUACCUGAUUUCAUCUGAUCUAGGAAUCUAAGCAGGGUUAGACCUGUUAAGCACUUGGAUGGGAGACAAUACCAA